AUGGCCGCCACCAGCUCGCCGUCGACGGCGGCGGCGGCGAUGUGGGCCUUCGCCGCCGCUACUUGCGUCAAGCUUCUGCUCGUCCCCACCUACCGCUCCACCGAUUUCGACGUCCACCGGUACUGGCUCGCCCUCACCCACGCCCUCCCCGCCCGGCAGUGGUACACCGAUGCCUCCUCCCAGUGGACGCUCGACUACCCGCCCUUCUUCGCCUACUUCUCCCGCCUCCUCUCUCUCCCCGCGCCCUUCGUCGACGCCUCCCUCGUCGCCAUCCCUGUGCCUGCCGCGCCGUCCUCCUCGGUCUACAUCCUCUACCUCCGCCUCACAGUCGCCUUCUCGGACCUCCUCCUCCUCGCUUCGGUCCUCCUCCUGGCGAGGGACGCUCGCCGGAGGCAGCGUCCGUUCCUCGCUCUCUUGCUCGUCCUGUGGUCACCGGCGCUGCUCAUCGUGGACCACAUUCACUUUCAGUACAACGGGUUCCUGAUGGGGCUGCUGUUGCUUUCGCUGCAUUUUCUAGAGCAGGGGAAGGAUCUUGCCGGGGGAGUUGUGUUUGCAGCAUUGCUGUGCUCGAAGCACCUGUUUCUCGUGGCUGCGCCGGUCUAUUUCGUGUACUUGUUCCGGCAUUAUUGCUGUGGCCGGGGUCUAGCGAGGGGCCUCGGGAGGCUGGUUCUCAUGGGUGCUGGCGUGGUUGCUGUUUUUGCCAUGGCAUUUGCGCCCUUCGUGUACUAUGGGCAGAUGCAACAACUCUUAAGCCGAUUGUUUCCUUUUGGUCGGGGCCUAUUUCAUGCUUACUGGGCUCCAAACUUUUGGGUAUUCUAUAUAGUACUUGACAAGAUCCUUGCAUUUCUUCUUAGAAGACUAGGAUUCAGUAUCGAGAUACCUGAAGCAUCAUUUACCAGGGGGCUUGUUGGUGAUUCAUCUCCUUUUUCUGUUCUUCCAAAGGUCACCCCAAUAACUACCUUCUUAUUGGUUAUACUUGCUAUGACUCCUUGUCUUGUCAAAGCAUUCGCUAACCCCCAAUCAAAACACAUAAUUAGAUGGGUGGCAUAUGCUUGUUCAUGUGGGUUUAUGUUUGGAUGGCAUGUACAUGAGAAGGCAUCACUUCAUUUCACUAUCCCUCUUGCCCUAAUUGCCAUGGAUAGCUUGGACGACGUCAGGCAUUACUUCUUAUUGUCAAUAGUUUCAUGCUACUCUCUGUUCCCAUUGUUGUUUGAGGACCAAGAAUACCCAAUAAAAGUGCUGCUGCUGUUGACCUAUGGUGCUCUCAUGUGGGUAGGUUUUUCAUCCCAUUUCGCUGCAAACCCUGCUACGGGAGGGAAGAAAUUAGAUGCAUCAGACAGCAUUGUCGAGAAAAAAUUCACUGGAUGGAUCAGUUUGGGCUAUCUUCUAGGAAUGUUUGCUAUAGAAUUCUGGUCUCGACUAUUCCAUCACCAUGUAUUUGGGGAUAGACUUCCGUUCCUACCUCUCAUGAUAGUUUCAGUGUACUGUGGCAUCGGAAUGAUGUACUCAUGGAUAUGGCAACUAUCUUGGAUUAUCAGGCACACUUGA
rnacentral:rRNA from 1 species